AGUGAACGCUGGCGGUAGGCCUAACACAUGCAAGUCGAACGGCAGCACAGUAAGAGCUUGCUCUUACGGGUGGCGAGUGGCGGACGGGUGAGGAAUACAUCGGAAUCUACUUUUUCGUGGGGGAUAACGUAGGGAAACUUACGCUAAUACCGCAUACGUCCUACGGGUGAAAGCAGGGGAUCUUCGGACCUUGCGCGAUUGAAUGAGCCGAUGUCGGAUUAGCUAGUUGGCGGGGUAAAGGCCCACCAAGGCGACGAUCCGUAGCUGGUCUGAGAGGAUGAUCAGCCACACUGGAAGUGAGACACGGUCCAGACUCCUACGGGAGGCAGCAGUGGGGAAUAGUGGACAAUGGGCGCAAGCCUGAUCCAGCCAGACCGCGUGGGUGAAGAAGGCCUUCGGGUUGUAAAGCCCUUUUGUUGGGAAAGAAAAGCAGCAGGUUAAGACCCCGCUGUUCUGACGGUACCCAAAGAAUAAGCACCGGCUAACUUCGUG
rnacentral:rRNA from 1 species